UACAGAGGGUGCGAGCGUUAAUCGGAAUUACUGGGCGUAAAGCGCACGUAGGCGGCCUGAUAAGUCGGGUGUGAAAGCCCUGGGCUCAACCCAGGAAGUGCACUCGAAACUGUCAGGCUUGAAUAUGGAAGAGGGUCGCGGAAUUCCCGGUGUAGAGGUGAAAUUCGUAGAUAUCGGGAGGAACACCAGUGGCGAAGGCGGCGACCUGGGCCAAUAUUGACGCUGAGGUGCGAAAGCGUGGGGAGCAAACAGG
rnacentral:rRNA from 1 species